ACGGAGGCAGCAGUGGGGGAUAUUGCACAAUGGGGGAAACCCUGAUGCAGCGACGCCGCGUGAGUGAUGAAGUAUUUCGGUAUGUAAAGCUCUAUCAGCAGGGAAGAAAAUGACGGUACCUGACUAAGAAGCUCCGGCUAAAUACGUGCCAGCAGCCGCGGUAAUACGUAUGGAGCAAGCGUUAUCCGGAUUUACUGGGUGUAAAGGGAGCGUAGACGGUCUAGCAAGUCUGAAGUGAAAGGUGUGGGCUCAACCCGCAAACUGCUUUGGAAACUGUUAAACUUGAGUGUCGGAGAGGUAAGUGGAAUUCCUAGUGUAGCGGUGAAAUGCGUAGAUAUUAGGAGGAACACCAGUGGCGAAGGCGGCUUACUGGACGAUAACUGACGUUGAGGCUCGAAAGCGUGGGGAGCAAACAGGAUUAGAUACCCUGGUA
rnacentral:rRNA from 1 species